CCUACGGGUGGCAGCAGUGGGGAAUAUUGGUCAAUGGGCGCAAGCCUGACCCAGCCACGUCGCGUGAAGGAUGACGGCUCUCGGGUUUUAAACUUCUUUUUAUAGGGAAGUGCAGUAGACGAUACCUCUUUACUUAUCCACGGCUAACUACGUGCCAGCAGCCGCGGUAAUCCGUAGGUGGCAAGCGAUGUGCGGAUUUACUGGGUUUAAAGGGAGUGCAGGCGGGAAGGCAAGUCAGAUGUGAAAUCCCGCGGAUCAAACGUGGAACUGCAUUUGAUACUGGUUUUCGUGAGUACAGGAGAGGUGAUCGGAAUUCAUGGUGUAGCGGUGAAAUGCGUAGAUAUAAGGAAGAACACCAGUGGCGAAGGCGGAUGACUGGACUGCAACUGACGGUGAGGCGCGAAAGUGUGGGGAGCAAACAGGAUUAGAUACCCUUGUAGUC
rnacentral:rRNA from 1 species